AUACAUUUCCAGUUGUUUCUGGGUCAAAGGGCUGCAUUUCCACAAGCUGUUUCAGCUACACUUUGUGAAGUCAGAAUUCUAUUUGACUCUCCUGGAAACUUCUAAAUGGACUUCUUACUGAGUAACACUUCGUUCAGUGAGAUGGAAUAUUCACAAAGCUUCACUAAAUCGUUUACUGCAUACAAGCUGAUUACGUAUCAAAAUAUCACUCAAAGAAUUUUGAGAAGUGUUCAAAUGGAACUCAGAAUGCAGAGGCAGAGCUGGAUAUCUGCCCAUUUUGCAGCAGUUCACCUGGCUCCUCAGCAGCAGGGAGCUGGAAACAAGGACGCGCAAGUUUCCUACCACCUGAGCUCCAGCCUGCCUCUCCCUGGACAGACUCCUGCUCACCAAGGAGCACCAGGAGCCCACAAAGCUGCCACAGGAAGCUGAUCUAAUUCUUUUAGUUUCAUUAGCAUCCCCACUGAUCAACAGCAGCAAAACUGUCAGACCCCUUCAGCUUCACACAGCAGCUGGCAGGGAUCCUGGGGAACACAAAGAGUUUCUUAAGCAAAAUACUAUAUGAUUUUAAUUGUAUAUUCAGAGGGAGAGGAGCCAUUUUGUAACCCAGUUUAGAAUUUUCAUUGUUUUGGGAUGAAAACUGGUGAGUAUAGAAAUUUGCUUUCAACGGCAGCUCUACCAGAACCAACUGAAUCACUCCUAUUUGGAUGCAUCCAUUUACGGCAUUUCCUGCAAAGGAUGAGGAACUGGCUACAAGCUAUACAUUCAGAUCUACACUCAGGGUUUCACCAACAAACCUUUCAGCCAGAGGAGAAGCCCUCCUGUGGUGAACAAGCUUCUCAUAGAAACAGUGGUUAGAUAUGAUCCAAUGAAGUUUAAGAACUAUUUCUCAAACAGACCAGCCCCUGCAUGGGAUGAGCCACAUGGAUACAGGUGAAGCUUAUUCCAAAGCCACCCACACACUGCACAAGGUACUCACUCUGUGGCAAUAGGACACCCUCUUAUUGCAUGUGUGAAGCAAUUAACAUUAUACAGUCCUGCUCUGGACUGAUUUUCCAAUAAGAGCAGAUGGCAUAGUCAAGAAGACUUCAAAAUAGAGUAAUUUAAUAAUCCAAGUAUUUUAGAGAAGAAAGCUUCCUUCAUUUUUAUAAACUUCUGGCCCUUGCAGGACUGAAAGAGUACAUUAUGGAACCACUGUGAGAGAAAAGAAUUUAAAUCUGAUUUUAACAUAGUUGUGCCUGUGUCUAUAUGUAUGAAUAACAUCUCCUCCAUCUUUCAUGAAACAAGGUUUACCUGACUGUGUUCUAAAGCAGUGUGUGAGCACUGUAUGU